UGUGCAGGCCAUGGAGGCGAUGAUGAGCACGAGGGGAAGGCUGCUGCUUCAACCCCGUUAAGGUUCCGUAAGAAGCACAAUAAAGUUGGUAUGAAGGCUAUGAGAGGGUGGGCAAUACAGAUAUUGACAGGGCUGGAAUAUCUUCGGAGUCAGGAACCAUCCAUUAUUCAUAGGGAUUUAAAGUGUGACAACAUAUUCAUAAACAGUCAUGAUGGACAAGUGAAGAUUGGCGACUUUGGUCUGGCGACAUUUUUGCAUCAACGGAAAACGAGAAGUAUCGAAGGCACAUUAGAGUUUAUGGCACCAGAACUCUUCACUGGGAAUUACAACGAGUUGGUGGAUAUAUAUUCAUUUGGGAUGUGCAUGCUUGAAAUGGUGACAUGUGAAUAACCAUACAGUGAAUGCGAAGGCAAGCCAUGGAUAUACAAGAAAAUUUGUGAAGGUAUAAAACCAGCUGUGCUAUCCAAGGUUGAAGAUGCAGAAGUAAGAGGUUUCACAGAAAUCUGUUUGGCUCCGGCAGCUGAAAGACUUUGUGCAAAUGAGCUCUUGAAGAACUGUUUCCUCCAGAAAGACAAGCCUAUCCCAGCGCCUCCUAUUUCAGUCUCCCUGGUCUCGAGUGUGACUAAAGAUGGUCGGCAGUCUGCCAGUUUCAUGCUAUGGAAGGGUGAAUUCUCACUAAAAGGCGACAUGCAUGUCACCGACCAUGUUAAUUUAUCGCUAAGAUUUCCUGAUCCCAGUGGUUGUUUUAAGAAUGCCGAGUUCCCGUUCGAUGUGGACCAAGAUACCAGCCUUUCUGUGGCUCUGGAAAUGGUCGACACUUUUGGACGGUGGCGGCGGCGGCAGAGGCUAUGGCUCGAUAGCGAGACGAGUCUGUUGAGAAUAGCCAGCGACGGGACGCCGCCGCCGCCGUCGCCUCGGAUCACCAGGACGCCGCCAUCGCCUCGGAUCCCCACACGCCGCCAGCAUGGCCGUGACAACUGAUGAGCACGCUCCGCCCCCAUUCCUGCCACAGAUGAAGAAAAGUAGGCUCAAUCAGGCCAUGACCAGAGUUGAAGAAGGCUCAGGCAGAUGGUGAUACUCUCAAACCAGGAGACCCCAACCCGGUAACCACGAUCUCCAUAUGGACGUGGGAACAAGAAUGAGAAGUGCAGAGACAUGGAAAAGUGGAGUGCGGCCGUAAAAAAUGCUCAUCAAAUUGCUGGCUCCAUGUUGCCUGUCCACUGUCAUCAUACUUGUCUGCAUCAAAAUGUCUCUGUUGGUGCUGAAUAUGAAACAGUUUCCACUGUCCCACCAGCAGCACCGAACACGAGCCCAGCAGCGACAUGAUGGAGACCAGCAGUACUUCUUGAUCCGGUAUCUGAACCAUUGGUCGUCGGUGUUUCCGCGGAAGGCGUGUAGAGGGAGAUGGUUCUGCCGAUAACCGGCACACUGAGGUAGGUGUAGGUCUGGACGCUGGUACUGUUGGAGGCGCGCCGGUCAAGCUCAGCCAUCACUCAGCCGGGCAGCACUUUGAGCUGUCAUAGAAAUAUCAUGAUCAUCUUUUAGCGAAUACAAAGGCUAGGUGGGCGGUCGAUUUGCAGCGGGGUGGCGUGAGGGAUAUCUCAUUUGGAAGAGCAGGUGGCGUACAAGGUCGCGUCGAGGUCCAACGACCGGAAUAUCGGCUCCAUAGAGGACGCCAUCACAGGUGCGUCGAUCUCAAUCUUCGUUACCCGUGUGUGUGGCAGGUGUGCUCUCACACUCAAGAAUUUUCAGUACGUGAUGGGUUCUUUCUAAUUCAGAUCUUGCUUGCCUUAUCGUGACAUCUUCUUUGCCAUGGUAAGCACAUCAUGGUUCGUUCGCCCUCAUGACUUUUUGUUAUGACAUUAAUGGAGUUCAGAAAGCAGUUUUAGUGAAGAUCGAAUGGUUUUUAGAUUAAGUAGAUAAUACAAGAGUACUCUUCUGUAGUGUAUUGUUGUUCUACUGAGACAUAUGCAGUGGGUUUGAUGGCCGCAGGAUAUUUAAAGCCAAGGUAAGACUAUACGUUCACAAUUCCUAUUGUUAUAAACAGGAAAAAAAAGAUAUAGGCAAAUACUACUGUUUUAGAUGCCGGUAAAAUGGACUAGAAUUUCUUGAGCUGUUUAGUCAGCAUGCUACCGCUCAUCAGUGGCGGAGGACCAAAUUUUUUCGAGGUAGGUCAGCCGAGACUACAGCACGUGAGACUUCCUCGCUGCUAGCCUCUAGCGCCAGGGCGUGCGUCUUCACCGUCCACCUUGGCCUCUGGCACCAGCGCUCCUGCUGCCUGCUGCUAGCCGCUAGCCUGCUGGGGUUCGCGCGUGGCAUGCGCCAGGGCUGGUGGUUUGUGUUCUGCUGUUCCUGUUCGUACCUUUGUGAUGACUGGUUCGGUACGUCAUGUGUGUGACGUGUGUGCAGCCAUCAGGCAAGGGCAUGACCCAAAUAAGGAGCCUUCUCACAAGUCACGACCCAACAUCAAAGAGAACUCUUCCUUUCAUUGACUUAUUGCACCUGUCAUCCGUCGAUCGAGCGUGUUUGCCGGAAAUAAAGGUUGGGCGGACACCCUGCCUCGCCCUACCGAGAGCUCCGCCGGUGCUACCACUAAUAUCCUUGUACUGUAGUAUCUUCAGUAUUUCUCCCACUUUUUCUUCUACAUUUGUAAAUGUAGUUACAAUCAAGGUUUCAGAUCGCGGGCUAAGGCAUUUAGCGGCUGGCUCUGUGCCAACGCUACAGCCGCUAUCGCCGGCUAUAGCGGCCGCUAACCCAUUUCGCGGCUACAGUAUUUGCACAUGUAUAUCACACAUCCAUACUAAUACAUGUGCAUGUUUUUCUCAGAAAACAGGGUAUUUUCAGUAGAAAAAAAGGAUUCUCAAUAUAAAUUCGAACAUAACAAGUAUAGUAGAGAUCUGCAGCAGUUCAACAGAUAAAUAGAAAUACAAAUUCAAGAGUUGCAUCAAGCAUAACAUCAACAGUUCGGCGCUUACGUUCAGUAACAACAGCAGCAUGUCCAUAGUCCAUUAUAUGCAUCACAAAGUUUUCAGAAUUCAUUUGUCAAAAGCACACAGGAAAGGAUAGAAUCAUGAGCGCCAAAAGGAACUUAAUAGAGAAACCCACAAGCUCACAUGACAGAACCAGAACUCAUGUCGGUGUCCUCGUUGUCGUCGUCACUUUCUGAAGCAGAGGAAGCAGAGAGCAGAUCUUCUUGAGGAGUAACAGGGAUCAUCUUCUUCUUCUUCCAAUCAACAAACAAAUCUGAAUCCCUCCCAGAGCCUACAAUCUGAAUCAACAAACAAGUCUGAAUAUUCUACCAAUGAACUAUGGAAUCGGAGGACUCAUGUACCUCCUGGCGAUGUGGUUGCCCUGGCGAUGUGGUUGCCCCGGCUGCUGGAACCGUGUGAGAGUGAGACUAAGAUGUCAUCGUGGUCGCAGAGGCGGCGGCGUGCAGAGGCCCCUCGUCGUCGGUCGCCUUUCCACCUCCCCCGCAUUCGAAUCUGGCUUCCAAGGAAGCAUCAGUCGGCGCUGGUGGGAAGAACGGCGCAGCCGCCGCAAACUUUUUGAUGGGAGUGAGAGAAGGGAAUGGGGGGACACGAGCUAGGUUUUCUGGAGGAGGUGCUAUAUACCAUCGUGAAAUUUGGGCCAUUUCUGGUCUGUUAGGGCCUUGUGUUUCAGUCUUUCGGCCCAUAACCGCAAAUUUGCAGCGACAGCAAAGUCAAAUAGCGUCGUUUCGCGCGCGAUCGCGCGGUUAGCAGCAGAUCGCGUUUUUUAAGGGAUCUCCUCGCGGGAAGGCUUCCAGCACGCGAUAGCGCCGUGAUCGCGCUGUUUUCGCUCGUGAUCUGAAACUUUGGUUACAAUUGAGAAAGCGAGAAAUAUUUGUUUUGUGAAAAAAAGACAUAUCUUUGUUAUCUGGAUGCCCGUGCGUUUACAGGUGCGUGUGUGUUUAGCAAUGGCGAGCUAUAUCCCAAGUGCAUGUGUUUAGAUAGAGAAUUUAGGUACUACUCCUUAUUUUGGCAAAGUGUCCUUUCCAAUAUGGUUUUGAAUUCAGAAUUGUUACAUAGGAGCACCGGUGAUUUCAUUAAUCUACAAAAAUAUAGAUUGUUCCUUCGAACUACCUGUUUCCACUCUAUUAGAUGUUCGUAAGCGAUAUUAUGCUAUUAAGAUGCCAUUUUUUAAAUUGCCUUUUGGCCUUGGGAUCACAACUAUUUUUGUUUUGCUUCAUUUUUAAGUAAAAUUGAGCAGGUUGUGUUUCCUGUUUUGCACACAUUUUUGCUAGGGCAAUGUAAGUCCAUUAACCUUCAAUUCUUCUAUACUUUAUAUGAUUAUGCAAUCUACCACUUACAUGUAAAGAGUGUCAUAUCUUAGUUUACUGCAAUUUAUGCCCCUACAGAAGAAACGGUUUCAGGGCAAGGCAACAAAAGUUAUUACAGCAUAGAGCUUCUAUCAAAUAAAUUUCCUGGCAAAGAAAUGAGCACUUGCUUCCUGAAACAUGUGUCAGACCCUGAUGGCACGUUUCUUGACAGCAGCGCCAUGGAAGUCUUGCUGGGGCUUGGCAGCCUUCAUGUGUAUACCUUAAACAUGUUCCAAGACUGCUCAACGACAAGUUGAAUUUUGACCCUCCAUGAAUGGUCUCUACAAGGGGCUACAUGGGCCAUGGGCUGAAGUAUAUCAUGAGAUUUACCCAAUCCACCUUACAUUCAACUAUGCGCAAUAGCGAUGCCAUGUUUUUAAAUAAUCUAUAUAUAUGCUUCUACAUUGAAAUCAAAUUUCAUCAUAAUUUUGCUAUUUGAUAAUAGUAUAACACUGGUAGACGUAUGGGUUGUCCCUCUAAAAUUUAAGCUUCGUCUCCAUGCUUGCUUUUGUCUAUUGGGACCCUGAUUUUCUUAGAAAGGUGGUCUUGUGAUUACUGAGUUAACAGCUGCUGUCGGAAUAUUCAGAAUAUUCAGUUUUGUUAGAGUCGUAGCUGUAGUUGUUUGAACUCAGUUUCGUCAGCUUUUUUUCUUCAGUUAAACUUUAGCAGAAACAAACCAAGUUGUGACGAUGUCCUAGAUUGUUAGGAUAGAUCGUCGCAAUGAUUGGAUCAUGGGAUGGCACGGCACAACGGUCACGGCGACGAUGCAGAGAGGUGUGCAAGGAGUUCUAGGAUGGCGGCACUCACAACUCGGAUAUGUCAUGCUUUUCUGUUUUUCAGUUAGCAUUGUAAUCACUGAAUAAAUAGAGGAGGGAGAAGAAAAGUUGUAGACUGAACAAUAAAAAAAAUCUGAAACUUCGUGGAAUUGAUUAUAAGAAAAUGUUUUACAAACUUUCAAAGUUUGGUCACCAAAUAACAUCGAAUGAUCUCCAUAUGAAAUGAAAUACAAACUCUUGCUCUGCACCCACGUUUCAGAUUUUAUAUUUGAGCACAAUCUUUGAUUUUUUUUUUGUACAGAGCUCUUCAGAUGUCAUUUGGCCACAUAAUUUUGCAAGCACCUAAAACAUUUGCUCAUAAUUCUGCAAGCGCCAUGUCAUUAUUCUGCAAAGUUUCAGAAUGUUUUGAUUUUUUUUUCUUGAUUGUGUGUGUACCUGGGGUGCAAUGUCCAUGGGUGUAGAACAGCCACAAUCUUUUCUCAUAGUAUUACCAGUAUAUCUUCCGGUUUAUUUCAUUAUCAUGCAUGGAGCUGCUUGGAUACCAGUGAAUUUGUAGGGGAAGAAAAGGAGGAUCCAUGAGCUGCAUAUCUGAUUAAAUUCAGUCAGAAGAUGGAGACUUGAAGGAAGGAUUAGCGGAGAAUGGGAAGGUGAAUAAAACAGGGAAACCAAUCAAAUACAUGUAGGUAUGACCUGUUGCUUUUUGUAAUCUCUUGUGGAUGUCAAUAUUUUUCUACAGUUACAUAUAUAAAUUAAGGGGAAACUUUGAUUAGGUACACCAUAGAAUAGUGUCACUUCUUGGUUUAUUUAUUACUCUCUUUUAAUAUCAACCAACAUGCUUGUCAACUUUAUAAUUUGUUAUUUGCUUAUCUCACUGCAAUAUUCUCCUGAGAGAUUUGUACGUGUACUCGGACAGAAACACUCCCCUACCUGAGGUCUUGGUUUACGUACUGCUGUUGAUUUCUUGUGUCACUCCUGAUACUCAGCUUGCUUCCAUUUGCCAAGAAGAUAAACUUGAUAAAAUGCAACAAUUUAGUUACUUCCAGAUUUUGUAUUUUGUGAGAAGCAAGUACCUGGCACAUGUGAACAAAAGGAUCUUAUCUCAGGUAAUAGGCUAGGAAGUUUUAUUUAAGAUAUCAUCCGUGUCAACGAAAAAUAGUACUACACGUGUGAAUAAACGGCACCUAUAUAUGAGAUACAAAGUACUCCAAUAAAAUUGGAGGGUUGGGGGAGUGUUGGUCUGGAGCCUCGCCCCCAUGCGGUAUGCUCUGUCCAAGUAUGUGCUCCUGUUCGCCGCAUCUACAUACUUGAUGAAGCGUGUUUGCUAAUUGCGAAGUAUGUGCAAGUCAGCAGUGAACAGUUUGUAUUGUUGUUUUCUAUGUUCUAGAAAAGUAAGUUUCAGCAGUUUCCACGACAUUUCAUGUCUGUUCCAUGUAGUAGUGUAUGCGGGAAUUAUAUUGAUGAUUUCAUUUUACCUUCAUAUCUGCUUAAUUUUCUUACCAAACACAGAAGUUUUAUGUCUUGAUGUGUUCAUAGAAGCGAAGAUAUAACUCAUGAUGGAAGCCUAAUACGCUGAUAAUGUUUUUACGGUUCAAUGUUCCUAUGAGGGGAGUGGGUGGGGACGGCAAUGAGUGUCUUAGCAUAUCAAGCAGUUGCCGCCUAUGAGGGGAGUGAGUGGAGAUUGCCAGAUCUGUGCGGCGGAGGGGCGAUGGAAGCUCGAAUGGAAGAUUUCUCGCCAGCAUCGGAGCAAUUUAUUGGCCGGAUCGACCAUAAAGUUCCUACAUGGACGUGAAGGCACGUCAUUAUUAAGAAGUUCAAUCUUUGGAAAUUCUGCAUGUGACACUGUAAAAAUAGAAAGAAGCUAGAAAAUUGUCUCAGGCCGAUUUCGUAUGUAGGUGUGAGCAUUGCUAAUUUCUGUCAACAUGAGAUCUGGACUAUUUAUAUAGCUACCAUGUGCCCAACAAAUUGUCUGAUAAUGUAACACUCCUGAAUAGAUUGAUGUAUGAUAAGCACAUGUGUUAAUUUUGGAGCA